rnacentral:rRNA from 1 species
CUCGUAGGCGGCUUUGCAAGUCGAUCGUGAAAGCCCGGGGCUUAACCCCGGGACGCCGGUCGAUACUGCCAUGGCUUGGGUCCGGUAGAGGAGAAUGGAAUUCCCGGUGUAGCGGUGAAAUGCGCAGAUAUCGGGAGGAACACCAGUAGCGAAGGCGGUUCUCUGGGCCGGUACCGACGAUGAGGAGCGAAAGCGUGGGGAGCAAACAGGAUUAGAUACCCUGGUAGUC